rnacentral:rRNA from 1 species
CCUACGGUGUGCAGCAGUGGGGAAUAUUGCACACUGGGGGAAACCCUGAUGCAGCGACGCCGCGUGAGCGAUGAAGUAUUUCGGUAUGUAAAGCUCUAUCAGCAGGGAAGAAAAUGACGGUACCUGACUAAGAAGCCCCGGCUAACUACGUGCCAGCAGCCGCGGUAAUACGUAGGGGGCAAGCGUUAUCCGGAUUUACUGGGUGUAAAGGGAGCGUAGACGGCGAUGCAAGCCAGAUGUGAAAGCCCGGGGCUCAACCCCGGGACUGCAUUUGGAACUGUAUAGCUGGAGUGUCGGAGAGGCAGGCGGAAUGCCUAGUGUAGCGGUGAACUGCGUAGAUAUUAGGAGGAACACCAGUGGCGAAGGCGGCCUGCUGGACGAUGACUGACGUUGAUGCACGAAAGCGUGGGGAUCAAACAGGAUUAGAUACCCGAGUAGUC